AAAGAGCUCGUAGGUGGUUUGUCACGUCUGCUGUGAAAACUCGGGGCUUAACCCCGAGCUUGCAGUGGAUACGGGCAGACUAGAGGUAGGUAGGGGAGAAUGGAAUUCCCGGUGUAGCGGUGAAAUGCGCAGAUAUCGGGAGGAACACCGGUGGCGAAGGCGGUUCUCUGGGCCUUACCUGACACUGAGGAGCGAAAGCGUGGGGAGCGAACAGGAUUAGAUACCCUAGU
rnacentral:rRNA from 1 species